CCUACGGGAGGCAGCAGUGAGGAAUAUUGGUCAAUGGGCUUACGCCUGAACCAGCAAAGUCGCGUGAGGGAAGACUGCCCUAUGGGUUGUAAACCUCUUUUGUCAGGGAGCAACGCCGGCUACGUGUAGCCGGACUGAGAGUACCGGAAGAAAAAGCAUCGGCUAACUCCGUGCCAGCAGCCGCGGUAAUACGGAGGAUGCGAGCGUUUUCCGGAUUUAUUGGGUUUAAAGGGUGCGUAGGCGGAAUGCCAAGUCAGCGGUAAAAUCGCGGGGCUCAACCUCGCUCCGCCGUUGAAACUGGCGUUCUGGAGUGGGCGAGAAGUAUGCGGAAUGCGUGGUGUAGCGGUGAAAUGCAUAGAUAUCACGCAGAACUCCGAUUGAGAAGGCAGCAUACCGGCGCCCAACUGACGCUGAAGCACGAAAGCGUGGGUAUCGAACAGGAUUAGAUACCCCAGUAGUC
rnacentral:rRNA from 1 species